UACGAGGGGGGCGAGCGUUGUUCGGAAUUAUUGGGCGUAAAGGGCGCGUAGGCGGUCAGCACAAGUCAGUUGUGAAAUCUCCGGGCUUAACUCGGAAAUGGCAUUGGAUACUAUUCGGCUAGAGGGUUUGAGGGGGGACUGGAAUACUUGGUGUAGCAGUGAAAUGCGUAGAUAUCAAGUGGAACACCAGUGGCGAAGGCGAGUCCCUGGAAAACUCCUGACACUGAGGCACGAAAGCUAGGGGAGCAAACAGG
rnacentral:rRNA from 1 species